UGGAUUAGGCAUGCAAGUCGAACGGUGACCCCGGUGCUUGCACCGGGCGAUCAGUGGCGAACGGGUGAGUAACACGUGAGCAACCUGCCCCUGACUCUGGGAUAACUUCGAGAAAUCGGAGCUAAUACCGGAUACGAGACGUACAGGCAUCUGUUGCGUCUGGAAAGAUUUAUCGGUCAGGGAUGGGCUCGCGGCCUAUCAGCUAGUUGGUGAGGUAACGGCUCACCAAGGCGACGACGGGUAGCCGGCCUGAGAGGGCGACCGGCCACACUGGGACUGAGACACGGCCCAGACUCCUACGGGAGGCAGCAGUGGGGAAUAUUGCACAAUGGGCGAAAGCCUGAUGCAGCGACGCCGCGUGGGGGAUGAAGGCCUUCGGGUUGUAAACCCCAUUCAGCAGGGAAGAAGCGAAAGUGACGGUACCUGCAGAAGAAGCGCCGGCUAACUACGUGCCAGCAGCCGCGGUAAUACGUAGGGCGCAAGCGUUGUCCGGAAUUAUUGGGCGUAAAGAGCUCGUAGGCGGUUUGUCGCGUCUGCUGUGAAAACCCGAGGCUCAACCUCGGGCCUGCAGUGGGUACGGGCAGACUAGAGUGCGGUAGGGGAGACUGGAAUUCCUGGUGUAGCGGUGGAAUGCGCAGAUAUCAGGAGGAACACCGAUGGCGAAGGCAGGUCUCUGGGCCGCAACUGACGCUGAGGAGCGAAAGCAUGGGGAGCGAACAGGAUUAGAUACCCUGGUAGUCCAUGCCGUAAACGUUGGGCACUAAGUAGAGGGGUUUU
rnacentral:rRNA from 1 species